GCGGGAGUAGUUCAACGGUAGAGCGUUGCCUUCCCAAGGCAAAAGUUGCGGGUUCGAAUCCCGUCUCCCGCUCCA
rnacentral:tRNA from 1 species